UUGGGAAACCUAUUGGAUCUCAGUCUAACUC
rnacentral:piRNA from 1 species